UCCCCGGUAGCUCAAUGGUAGAGCACCCGGCUGUUAACCUGGUGGUUGUUGGUUCGAGUCCAACCCGGGGAGCCA
rnacentral:tRNA from 1 species